rnacentral:rRNA from 1 species
AUUGAACGCUGGCGGCAUGCCUUACACAUGCAAGUCGAACGGCAGCACGGGAGCAAUCCUGGUGGCGAGUGGCGAACGGGUGAGUAAUAUAUCGGAACGUGCCCAGUCGUGGGGGAUAACGCAGCGAAAGCUGUGCUAAUACCGCAUACGAUCUAAGGAUGAAAGCGGGGGAUCGCAAGACCUCGCGCGAUUGGAGCGGCUGAUAUCAGAUGAGCUAGUUGGUGGGGUAAAGGCCCACCAAGGCGACGAUCUGUAGCUGGUCUGAGGGGACGACCAGCCACACUGGAACUGAGACACGGUCCAGACUCCUACGGGAGGCAGCAGUGGGGAAUUUUGGACAAUGGGCGCAAGCCUGAUCCAGCAAUGCCGCGUGCAGGAUGGAGGCCUUCGGGUUGUAAACUGCUUUUGUACGGAACGAAACGGCCCUUUCUAAUACAGGGGGCUAAUGACGGUACCGUAAGAAUAAGCACCGGCUAACUACGUGCCAGCCGCCGCGGUAA